rnacentral:misc_RNA from 1 species
AAGCGCCGUAUACCGAACGGUACUUACGGUGCUGUGAGAGGACGGGAGCUAAUCACUCCCUCUUAUUCGAU